GUAGGUGGCAAGCGUUGUCCGGAAUUAUUGGGCGUAAAGCGCGCGCAGGCGGUUCUUUAAGUCUGAUGUGAAAGCCCACGGGCUCAACCGUGGAGGGUCAUUGGAAACUGGAGAACUUGAGUACAGAAGAGGAAAGCGGAAUUCCACGUGUAGCGGUGAAAUGCGUAGAGAUGUGGAGGAACACCAGUGGCGAAGGCGGCUUUCUGGUCUGUAACUGACGCUGAGGCGCGAAAGCGUGGGGAGCAAACAGGAUUAGAUACCCUGGUAGUCCACGCCGUAAACGAUGAGUGCUAAGUGUUAGGGGGUUUCCGCCCCUUAGUGCUGCAGCUAACGUAUUAAGCACUCCGCCUGGGGAGUACGGCCGCAAAGGCUG
rnacentral:rRNA from 1 species